UAAUAAGUCCAUCAAAAUAUAUAUCGCGUGGCUGCUUACAGACAAAGCGAUAUAUAUUUUAGAUGGGCAAACCUAUAUGAGCAAGUAAUGGUUCAGCUUAGCUGAACCACGGAUUGCGAAUGUAGGUAAUGGUUUCGAGAGUUCGCAGAACGGAGAAACCAUUCUUAUUA
rnacentral:sRNA from 1 species